GGCUCCAUAGCUCAGUGGUUGGAGCACUGGUCUCGUAAACCCGGGGUCGCGAGUUCAACUCUCGCUGUAGCCU